AGUGAACGCUGGCGGCGUGCCUAAUACAUGCAAGUCGAACGGAGAUUAAGUAGCUUGCUAUUUAAUCUUAGUGGCGCACGGGUGAGUAAUAUAUAGCUAACUUGCCCAUUACUAAGGGACAACAGUUGGAAACGACUGCUAAUACCUUAUACUCCGUAUCUAUAUAAGUAGAUACGGGAAAGUUUUUCGGUAAUGGAUAGGGCUAUAUCGUAUCAGCUAGUUGGUAAGGUAAUGGCUUACCAAGGCUAUGACGCGUAACUGGUCUGAGAGGAUGAUCAGUCACACUGGAACUGAGACACGGUCCAGACUCCUACGGGAGGCAGCAGUAGGGAAUAUUGCUCAAUGGGGGAAACCCUGAAGCAGCAACGCCGCGUGGAGGAGGACACUUUUCGGAGCGUAAACUCCUUUUCUUGGGAAAGAAUUAUGACGGUACCCAAGGAAUAAGCACCGGCUAACUCCGUG
rnacentral:rRNA from 1 species